UACGUAGGGUGCAAGCGUUGUCCGGAAUUAUUGGGCGUAAAGAGCUCGUAGGCGGUUUGUCGCGUCUGCUGUGAAAACUCGGGGCUUAACUCCGGGCCUGCAGUGGGUACGGGCAGACUAGAGUGUGGUAGGGGAGACUGGAAUUCCUGGUGUAGCGGUGAAAUGCGCAGAUAUCAGGAGGAACACCAAUGGCGAAGGCAGCUCGCUGGGACGGUACUGACGCUGAGACGCGAAAGCGUGGGGAGCAAACAGG
rnacentral:rRNA from 1 species